AGAGUUUGAUCAUGGCUCAGAUUGAACGCUGGCGGCAGGCCUAACACAUGCAAGUCGAACGGUAACAGGAAGAAGCUUGCUUCUUUGCUGACGAGUGGCGGACGGGUGAGUAAUGUCUGGGAAACUGCCUGAUGGAGGGGGAUAACUACUGGAAACGGUAGCUAAUACCGCAUAACGUCGCAAGACCAAAGAGGGGGACCUUCGGGCCUCUUGCCAUCGGAUGUGCCCAGAUGGGAUUAGCUAGUAGGUGGGGUAACGGCUCACCUAGGCGACGAUCCCUAGCUGGUCUGAGAGGAUGACCAGCCACACUGGAACUGAGACACGGUCCAGACUCCUACGGGAGGCAGCAGUGGGGAAUAUUGCACAAUGGGCGCAAGCCUGAUGCAGCCAUGCCGCGUGUAUGAAGAAGGCCUUCGGGUUGUAAAGUACUUUCAGCGGGGAGGAAGGGAGUAAAGUUAAUACCUUUGCUCAUUGACGUUACCCGCAGAAGAAGCACCGGCUAACUCCGUGCCAGCAGCCGCGGUAAUACGGAGGGUGCAAGCGUUAAUCGGAAUUACUGGGCGUAAAGCGCACGCAGGCGGUUUGUUAAGUCAGAUGUGAAAUCCCCGGGCUCAACCUGGGAACUGCAUCUGAUACUGGCAAGCUUGAGUCUCGUAGAGGGGGGUAGAAUUCCAGGUGUAGCGGUGAAAUGCGUAGAGAUCUGGAGGAAUACCGGUGGCGAAGGCGGCCCCCUGGACGAAGACUGACGCUCAGGUGCGAAAGCGUGGGGAGCAAACAGGAUUAGAUACCCUGGUAGUCCACGCCGUAAACGAUGUCGACUUGGAGGUUGUGCCCUUGAGGCGUGGCUUCCGGAGCUAACGCGUUAAGUCGACCGCCUGGGGAGUACGGCCGCAAGGUUAAAACUCAAAUGAAUUGACGGGGGCCCGCACAAGCGGUGGAGCAUGUGGUUUAAUUCGAUGCAACGCGAAGAACCUUACCUGGUCUUGACAUCCACGGAAGUUUUCAGAGAUGAGAAUGUGCCUUCGGGAACCGUGAGACAGGUGCUGCAUGGCUGUCGUCAGCUCGUGUUGUGAAAUGUUGGGUUAAGUCCCGCAACGAGCGCAACCCUUAUCCUUUGUUGCCAGCGGUCCGGCCGGGAACUCAAAGGAGACUGCCAGUGAUAAACUGGAGGAAGGUGAGGAUGACGUCAAGUCAUCAUGGCCCUUACGACCAGGGCUACACACGUGCUACAAUGGCGCAUACAAAGAGAAGCGACCUCGCGAGAGCAAGCGGACCUCAUAAAGUGCGUCGUAGUCCGGAUUGGAGUCUGCAACUCGACUCCAUGAAGUCGGAAUCGCUAGUAAUCGUGGAUCAGAAUGCCACGGUGAAUACGUUCCCGGGCCUUGUACACACCGCCCGUCACACCAUGGGAGUGGGUUGCAAAAGAAGUAGGUAGCUUAACCUUCGGGAGGGCGCUUACCACUUUGUGAUUCAUGACUGGGGUGAAGUCGUAACAAGGUAACCGUAGGGGAACCUGCGGUUGGAUCACCU
rnacentral:rRNA from 1 species